rnacentral:rRNA from 1 species
UACAGAGGUCUCAAGCGUUGUUCGGAUUCAUUGGGCGUAAAGGGUGCGUAGGUGGUAGGGUAAGUCGGAUGUGAAAUCCCGGGGCUCAACCCCGGAACUGCAUUCGAUACUGCCUUGCUCGAGUACUGGAGAGGAGACUGGAAUUUACGGUGUAGCAGUGAAAUGCGUAGAUAUCGUAAGGAAGACCAGUGGCGAAGGCGAGUCUCUGGACAGUUACUGACACUGAGGCACGAAGGCCAGGGGAGCAAACGGG